CGUAACUAGCUAUGAGGACACCGAGGUCGUGUCCUGGGUUUUAUUUUUUAUUUUUUGCAUCAUCAGUGCUGAUGCUCAUGUAAAAAUUCUGAUAAACUACAAAAUACUCCUUAAUAAUCUCUGUUGGGUUGCCAUAUAUCGUAGAUUUGGAGGUUGAAUAGUAAAUAUCAAGCAGUCAUGUAAAUACUGCCAGCUAUAGCGUGAAACAUAAGUUUGACCUCGGUAGAAUUCAGCUCUGGUUAAGACGCUGCCUGCAGCCGUUUUAACCAAAACAAUGUUUUGAAACGUCAUCACCAGAACCACCAAAUAAAACGUCAUCUUUAAUCAUGGUGAAGAGGAAGAGUUUGGAGGAUCCCGAUCAGGAAUGUGGGAGAGGUAUACCUUUCCCAAUCCAGACGUUUCUGUGGAGAAAAAACAGUGCAUUUUUUAAACCAAAACUGGGGAAGCAGUAUGAAGCAGGCGUCCUGUGUGGCACCAAGACUCUGGUGGUGCACGGGGCAGAACGAGUGUGACAUCCCCACCCAGCUCCCCGUGCAUGAGGACACACAGUUCGAGGCUCUGCUCAAGG